UNCAACUCAAAGGUGCUUCUGUGACUGG
rnacentral:piRNA from 1 species